rnacentral:rRNA from 1 species
GUAGGUGGCAAGCGUUGUCCGGAAUUAUUGGGCGUAAAGCGCGCGCAGGCGGGGUCCUUUUAAGUCUGAUGUGAAAGCCCACGGGCUCAACCGUGGAGGGGUCAUUGGAAACUGGGGGACUUGAGUACAGAAGAGGAAAGCGGAAUUCCAAGUGUAGCGGUGAAAUGCGUAGAGAUUUGGAGGAACACCAGUGGCGAAGGCGGCUUUCUGGUCUGUAACUGACGCUGAGGCGCGAAAGCGUGGGGGAGCAAACAGGAUUAGAUACCCUGGUAGUCCACGCCGUAAACGAUGAGUGCUAAGUGUUAGGGGGUUUCCGCCCCUUAGUGCUGCAGCUAACGCAUUAAGCACUCCGCCUGGGGAGUACGGCCGCAAAGGCUG